AAAAAGAACUCUCGGCAACGGAUAUCUCGGCUCUCGCAUCGACGAAGAACAUAGCGAAAUGCGAUACUUGGUGUGAAUUGCAGAAUCCCGUGAACCAUCGAGUCUUUGAACGCAUGUUGCGCCCGAAGCCAUUAGGCCGAGGGGCAUC
rnacentral:rRNA from 1 species